rnacentral:rRNA from 1 species
UACGUAGGGUGCAAGCGUUAAUCGGAAUUACUGGGCGUAAAGCGUGCGCAGGCGGCUUUGCAAGACAGAUGUGAAAUCCCCGGGCUCAACCUGGGAACUGCAUUUGUGACUGCAUGGCUAGAGUACGGUAGAGGGGGAUGGAAUUCCCGGUGUAGCGGUGGAAAUGCGUAGAUAUCGGGAGGAACACCUGUGGCGAAGGCGGCCCCCUGGUUGGAUACUGACGCUGAUACGCGAAAGCGUGGGGAGCAAACAGG